rnacentral:rRNA from 1 species
AGUGAACGCUGGCGGUAGGCCUAACACAUGCAAGUCGAACGGCAGCACAGUAAGAGCUUGCGCUGACGGGUGGCGAGUGGCGGACGGGGGAGGAAUACAGCGGAAUCUACUUUUUCGUGGGGGAUAACGUAGGGAAACUUACGCUAAUACCGCAUACGACCUACGGGUGAAAGCAGGGGAUCUUCGGACCUUGCGCGAUUGAGUGGGCCGAUGUCGGAUUAGCUAGUUGGCGGGGUAGCGGCCCACCAAGCCGACGAUCCGUAGCGGGUCUGAUAGGAUGAUCGGCCACACUGGAACUGAGGCGCGGUCCAGACUCCUACGGGAGGCAGCAGUGGGGAGUAUUGGACAAUGGGCGCAAGCCUGAUCCAGCCAUACCGCGUGGGUGAAGAAGGCCUUCGGGUUGUAAAGCCCUUUUGUUGGGAAAGAAAAGCAGCAGGUUAAUACCCCGCUGUUCUGACGGUACCCAAAGAAUAAGCACCGGCUAACUUCGUG